rnacentral:rRNA from 1 species
CGGGGGGAGCAAGCGUUGUUCGGAUUACUGGGCGUAAAGGGCGCGUAGGCGGCCACCGCAAGUCGACUGUGAAAUCUCUGGGCUUAACCCAGAAAGGUCAGCCGAUACUGCGGGGCUAGAGUGCAGAAGGGGCAACUGGAAUUCUCGGUGUAGCGGUGAAAUGCGUAGAUAUCGAGAGGAACACCUGCGGCGAAGGCGGGUUGCUGGGCUGACACUGACGCUGAGGCGCGAAAGCUAGGGGAGCGAACGGGAUUAGAUACCCCGGUAGUCCUAGCCUUAAACGAUGAAUGCUUGGUGUCUGGGGUUUUAUAGUCCCCGGGUGCCGUCGCUAACGCUUUAAGCAUUCCGCCUGGGGAGUACGGUCGCAAGACUG